GUGUGUGUGAGGAGUAAGAACGAAAGACAAAAACUCUUGGGGUCGAAACAUGGCCAGACUCCCAAGGGUCUUUUUCUGUU
rnacentral:sRNA from 1 species